GGAUGUGAGGGCGAUCUGGUGAUCUGGCUGAGACAUCUGUCACCCCAUUGAUCACCAGGAUUGAUUCGGCUGAUCUGGCUGGCUAGGCGGGUGUCCCCUUCCUCCCUCCCCACUCCAUGUGCGUCCCUUUCAAAGUUGCAUGCUCAGUCGAAGAGGAUGGCCUUCCCAGAAUAGAGACAGACAGGUCUUCGAUCAAGGGUAUACAAGUAGCUGCGCUUCCCUGCUAGAACCUCCAAACAAGCUCUUAAGCUAAGUGUAAUAGUGUAUAUAAAGAUACCAGCACAAUAUGGGUAUGAAUUAAUACUGGAAAUUGCACAAUUAUAGAAU
rnacentral:snRNA from 1 species